rnacentral:rRNA from 1 species
GACGAACGCUGGCGGCGUGCUUAACACAUGCAAGUCGAACGGAAAGGCCCUGCUUUUGUGGUGUGCUCGAGUGGCGAACGGGUGAGUAACACGUGAGUAACCUGCCCUUGACUUUGGUGUAACUUCAGGAAACUGGGGCUAAUACCGGAUAGCAGCUCCUGUUGCAUGGUGGGGGUUGGAAAUUUUCGGCGGUUGGGGAUGGACUCGCGGCUUAUCAGCUUGUUGGUGGGGUAGUGGCUUACCAAGGCUUUGACGGGUAGCCGGCCUGAGAGGGUGACCGGGCACAUUGGGACUGAGAUACGGCCCAGACUCCUACGGGAGGCAGCAGUGGGGAAUAUUGCACAAUGGGCGGAAGGCUGAUGCAGCAACGCCGCGUGCGGGAUGACGGUCUUCGGGUUGUAAACCGCUUUCGCCUGUGACGAAGCGUGAGUGACGGUAAUGGGUAAAGAAGCACCGGCUAACUACGUG